CCAAGAAAGACAGACUUUUUGGAUCUCUGUCUGGGGACAGAGUCUGGCUCUCCCAUGCACUGUCCAGGUGGUGUCCAUGUGAGACGAGGGAGGACCUCGUUUUCCUGAUAGGUCAUGCGGGGAUGCUGAUGCUUUCCCAGAGGGCGUGUUGGGAGAUGCCAUCACCUCACAAGCUCCUUGAGACAGGACUUUGUCCUCCUUUCUGCCAUCAUUCGAACCCCUAAUAAUUACCUGACAGAUGGAAAACAAUCAUGAAAUAUUUAGGAAUAACUGAAUAAUUGGAUGCAAAGUGCCUGACAGAGCAGAGGGGAUGCUCUCACUUGGACUCUCCCCCGGGACCACUGUGUUCUCAUCAGAGCCGAGAGAUGACGUUCACGUACACUUACGAGGCAGAUGGGGGACUACUGUCGAUGCCUUCUUGGACUGCCAUGGAGAUUGAGGCUCAAAGAGGUCACACAGAUAUUUCAGUGUAUGUGGAAGAUUAAAUCCAAAAUCAUGGGAGAGAUGUUUUGAGAUGCUCAUCCAGAAAUUAUGCAUCAGGAUAAAGGCUGUCCCACUCAAAGAAGUAACCUGACAAAGUGGCUCAGUGAUUCCAAGGAUGAAAUUGUCACUAUCACUUGAAGACUUCAUGGGUCACAGACGUCCUAAAGGGCACUUCUCUGCAAGGGAAGCAAUCCCAGCUCUAUAGCCAUGGGGUUGGGUAUAAAUUCUGAGUCCAUCACUCACCAGCUGUGUGACUACAAGCCAGUCCCUUAGCCUCUCUGAGACACCACAUCAUCAUCUACAAAAUAAGAUCAGCAAAAUCCACAUAAUGACAUUGUGAGGAAUAAAAAUCCAUGAGUAGCGCAAUGA